rnacentral:lncRNA from 1 species
UAUCACAUAUGCCGAUCCUUAUUUUAUGAAAAAUUAUGAUUUCAUCAAUAGCAAUUCUUUGCAUAAAAACAUGAUCAUUUAAAAAUAAAUAAGGAGCAUAAGAUCUACUUACCUCGUUCAUCUUAGAUCUUCAAACUUCAUUAGAAGAAUCAGCUAAUCCUAUUUAAAAUAUCAAAUCAUUAUCAAAUUCUAUUUCAUAAAUAUAACAAGAUUAAAUCGUAAGGAAAGAGGA